rnacentral:rRNA from 1 species
UUAAAUCAGUUAUCGUUUAUUUGAUAGUACCUUACUACAUGGAUUACCUGUGGUAAUUCUAGAGCUAAUACAUGCUAAAAACCUCGACUUCGGAAGGGGUGUAUUUAUUAGAUAAAAAACCAAUGCCCUUCGGGGCUCCUUUGGUGAUUCAUAAUAACUUAACGAAUCGCAUGGCCUUGCGCCGGCGAUGGUUCAUUCAAAUUUCUGCCCUAUCAACUUUCGAUGGUAGGAUAGUGGCCUAACCAUGGUGGCAACGGGUAACGGGGAAUUAGGGUUCGAUUCCGGAGAGGGAGCCUGAGAAACGGCUACCACAUCCAAGGAAGGCAGCAGGCGCGCAAAUUUACCCAAUCCCGACACGGGGAGGUAGUGACAAUAAAUACUGAUACGGGGCUCUUUUGGGUCUCGUAAUUGGAAUGAGUACAAUCUAAAUCCCUUAACGAGGGAACAAUUGGAGGGCAAGUCUGGUGCCAGCAGCCGCGGUAAUUCCAGCUCCAAUAGCGUAUAUUAAAGUUGUUGCAGUUAAAAAGCUCGUAGUUGAACCCUUGGGUCUGGCUGGCCGGUCCGCCUCACCGCGAGUACUGGUCCGGCUGGACCUUUCCUUCUGGGGAACCUCAUGGCCUUCACUGGCUGUGGGGGGGAACCAGGACUUUUACUGUGAAAAAAUUAGAGUGUUCAAAGCAGGCCUUUGCUCGAAUACAUUAGCAUGGAAUAAUAGAAUAGGACGUGCCGGUUCUAUUUUGUUGGUUUCUAGGACCGCCGUAAUGAUUAAUAGGGAUAGUCG